rnacentral:rRNA from 1 species
CCCUUAGAUGUUCUGGGCUGCACGCGCGCUACACUGAUGCACUCAACGAGUUUACGACUUUGCCCGAUAGGGUUGGGUAAUCUUUUUAAAAUGCAUCGUGAUGGGGAUAGAUUAUUGCAAUUAUUAAUCUUCAACGAGGAAUUCCUAGUAAGCGCGAGUCAUCAGCUCGUGCUGAUUACGUCCCUGCCCUUUGUACGCACCGCCCGUCGCUCCUACCGAUUGAGUGCUCAGGUGAAUAAUUCGGACUGCAGCAAUGUUUGGAUCCCGAACGUUGCAGCGGAAAGUUUAGUGAACCUUAUCACUUAGAGGAAGGAGAAGUCGUAACA